UACGUAGGUGGCAAGCGUUGUCCGGAUUUAUUGGGUUUAAAGGGUGCGUAGGCGGUUUUUUAAGUCAGUGGUGAAAUACGGCAGCUCAACUGUCGAGGUGCCAUUGAUACUGGGAAACUUGAGUACUGAUGAGGUAGGCGGAAUGGACGGUGUAGCGGUGAAAUGCUUAGAUAUCGUCCAGAACACCGAUAGCGAAGGCAGCUUCUAAGGAGUAACUGACGCUGAGGCACGAAAGUGUGGGGAUCAAA
rnacentral:rRNA from 1 species